CGGGUAACCUGCCCCAGACUCAGGGAUAACCCCGGGAAACCGGGGCUAAUACCCGAUACUCCGAUCGAACCACAUGGCUCGAUCGGGAAAGCUCCGACGGUCUGGGAUGGGCCCGCGGCCUAUCAGCUUGUUGGUGGGGUAACGGCCUACCAAGGCGACGACGGGUAGCUGGUCUGAGAGGACGACCAGCCACACUGGAACUGAGAUACGGUCCAGACUCCUACGGGAG
rnacentral:rRNA from 1 species